GCUGAAUACAUUUCCAAGUAAUUAAUAUUUAAAUUUGCAAGCAUUAAACAAGUGAGCUAAAAACAAAGCAAGCAAAGCUAAAUUAAAUAAGCCAAAGUAUGGACCCAAAUUAAAUCACCGUUUGUGCUUCCACCAACAUCAACUAAAAUUUCAAUAAAAAAAAAGUAAGUAUUCAUUAACCAAAAUGGAUUUCACUGUGAGCGGCAGUUGGAACAAAACAAGUGCUACAUUUUUUCAUUCAAACGUUCCAGCCCUUGCAUAAAAAAUCAAAAGGAAAAAAAAAUAAGCUUCAACCAAUUCCAAGCAGCGUUCCCAAGCAAAAGAAAAAUAACAUUCCAUGAUCUCCAAAGAAAAAAAUAAACGAAACGUUCCAACACCGAGAGUUGAAUGACAGCAGCUAGCCUCCUCAAAAUAACGUUUCCAGCUCUCCUAAUGGUCCCAGCAGCCCUCCAAAAUGAAGUCUCCGCUGCAGCUAAAAAAAAAUGCCGAGAGAAUUCCCCUACACCAAAUUGCCGAUAGAAUGAAUAUUGGUGCCAAAAACAAAUUCUGGAGUAAGUGGCGCUAGUUAAAGAAUGUUGCAGCACCCCACCAAAAUGAAUU
rnacentral:lncRNA from 1 species